CACGUAGGGGACGAGCGUUGUCCGGAAUUAUUGGGCGUAAAGAGCUCGUAGGCGGUGUGUCACGUCGGCCGUGAAAACCUGCAGCUUAACUGUGGGCGUGCGGUCGAUACGGGCAUCACUGGAGUUCGGCAGGGGAGACUGGAAUUCCUGGUGUAGCGGUGAAAUGCGCAGAUAUCAGGAAGAACACCCGUGGCUAAGGCGGUUCUCUAGUACGGUACUGACGCUGAGGCGCGAAAGCGUGGGGAGCAAACGGG
rnacentral:rRNA from 1 species